AGGGCAGUUUAAGUUUGUUUAGGGUAUCUUAAGUUUGUUUAAGGGCAGUUUAAGUUUGUUUAGGGUAGCUUAAGUUUGUUUAAGGGCAGUUUAAGUCUGUUUAAGGGCAGUUUAAGUUUGUUUAGGGUUGCUUAAGUCUGUUUAAGGGCAGUUUAAAUCUGUUUAAGGGCAGUUUAAAUCUGUUUAAGGGCAGUUUAAAUCUGUUUAGGGUAUCUUAAGUCUGUUUAAGGGCAGUUUAAAUCUGUUUAAGGGCAGUUUAAAUCUGUUUAGGGGCAGUUUAAGGGCAGUUUAAGUCUGUUCAGGGCAGUUUAAAUCUGUUUAAGGGCAGUUUAAGUUUGUUUAGGGGCAGUUUAGGUCUGUUUAAGGGCAGUUGAAGUCUGUUUAAGGGCGGUUUAAGUGCAGUUGAAGUCUGUUUUGACGGCUCACAACAACAGAAGAUGUUUGAAUCGUCCAGCUUUCGUCGUGACGGUGGCGUUUUACGGCUGUUUCAUGUCUUCUUUCAUCGUCCACGUCUUCCUUUCUUUAAAUAUAUAGUUUUAAACCCCAUUAAAUGAAUCCUUUUUGUCUAAAGCCCUACUUUUUACAC